AUUUGAUGCGUUUAGAGCCCCACACGUUGGGCGCAAUUUGAAGCAUUUUACAUACAACUGGAGCCGGAAGGAGGCCAAAAAUGAGUCGAGCCACACACGUUGGGCGCCAUUUGAAGCCGUUUAACAUGUCUGCUCAUAUGGGAACAAGGAAAGACUAUCUAUAGAGAUACUGGGGGGUAAGAAUGGGGCUAAAGAAGAAGAAGCAGACACAUAAAGCCUCGUUGCGGGACGGCAGCUCAUUUGUUGUGCGGGAGCUAGGUCGUAGAUUCGUUAGGGAGGGUGAAGGGGUGUUAAGAUGACUACACUACCAUAACUAAAUACAUAAGGGUACUUACUCUGACUAGAGGAUCUUUCUACUAUUUAACAAAAAGGGACGCCGUUUGAAAUAAAUCCUCUAUUUCACCUAUGGGUACUUACUGGAUACUUUCUUACUUACGGGUACCAAUCGGGGGGACAAUCAUCAUUGAUUCCUCUUUGGGGUUACAUUGGGACAACAUCUUUCCUUAUUAUUGGCUUCUAUGCCAUAUUCUUUCUUUUCUCCUGAACUAAAACUUUCAUACAGUUGCAUUAGUUUUCUGUUAAAAUUUUUCCAAAGGCUACAGAAAUGAGAUGAUAGAUACACUUUCACAAACAUUUAUUUAAAACUUUACGGUGGUUUUUUUUUUAAACAAACAAAAAAACUUUUAACAGGAAAUGAUUUUACAGGACAAAAUAUCUACAAAUCUUUUACAUUACAAAAAAAAUCUUCAAUUUAACAUAACAAAAGAAUGACAAAAGAACUUGUUGGACAGUGUAUGUCAAAACAAAAUUUUGACGCAGCUGUCAAAGGUCAAAGUCACUGUCAUUUUAAUUUACAAGUUGCAUCAUGAAAGCACAAACAACUAUUAUUUUUCAAAACUCUUUACCAACAAAAAUAUUUAUCCAUUUGGGAUCCUUGCAAAAUUUAAAAAAAUAUAUCAUACCAUAUUUAAACAAAAUCCUUUAUCACACGUCACAAACUACACGGAAAGGGGGUUCAUCUACAAACAAACAGGGUCAUCGACCUGAGGUGGGCUUCAUGGCUUCCUUUUUAUUUCGGGGCAAUCAACUGGAUAAACAUCACGGGACUGGAACUCAAAAUGUCUACAUCAGGACAUCAAUCGGGACUCGGAAGACUUCAUUUAAACAGGAACUUGGACAAGAUACAGGGACUUCAUACCACGCCGGCGUAUAGUACUGCGUCACAACUCAAACACAGUGUAAGAGCACCCAACUUCACUACGGGGUAAAAAAAAAAACAUCGUGCCCUCACACUAGAUCUUCCAGAACGACAUACUAUACCCUUUACCGGCGGGUAACAAAA